GUUUGAGCCUUUGGAUCGGGAAGAUUGUAGGUGUGGCUUGAUGGUGGUGGUAAAGAAUGAUACACAUUUGGUUCCUGAGAGUGCCCUUUGUUGUGUUACUCCUUACGGUGAUGGGUGGAGUUCCAAUAGAUUCUCAGGAAACUCAGAGCAAUCGGUUCAAGCAAAAUGCUACACUGGACGCGAUCAAAAGAGUGGACAGAGUGAAUAAGGAGACAAG